CAUGUAUAUAAGCAGUGGAUCUGACUGUGUAGAGUACAAGUGUAUUAGACCUUCAAGACUGUACAAUAAUGAAGGUUGCUCUUCUUUUUGUCAUUAGCUGCUUCAUUGCAACUGCUUAUAGCAACAGCAUAAAGGCAGAGAAAGUGGUUGCUGAUGAUGAAGAAUCUAAUUUAACUUGCCAAUGCAUAUCAGAAGAAUGCAUAUUGAAUUCAGGAUACUACAGGUGUGAUGCUGACAGUAAAUGUGUCUGUCAUUCUGAAUUAGGUAGCUAUACACCUAAAGACUGCAAAUGUAAGGAGGAGCGCUGUAAGGAGGAAAACAGUGUACUGCAUUGCAAAACUGGCUGUAGCUGCACUGUAUGAAAACACUGGAAGCAAAUGAGAAACAUAAUUAGAUGAAUCUCUUAAUUAAAAUUACAAUGUAGUAUAUGCUGCAGUUUAACUAUUAUCUUUCAUAAAACAUUUAGUAAAUCAUUAAGUAUAAAACCAAA